GACGAACGCUGGCGGCGUGCUUAACACAUGCAAGUCGAACGGAAAGGCCCCUUUGGGGGUACUCGAGUGGCGAACGGGUGAGUAACACGUGCGUAACCUGCCCUUGACUUCGGGAUAACUUCAGGAAACUGGGGCUAAUACCGGAUAGGAAUCCUUGCUGCAUGGUGGGGGUUGGAAAGCUUCGGCGGUUUUGGAUGGACUCGCGGCUUAUCAGCUUGUUGGUGGGGUAGUGGCUUACCAAGGCUUUGACGGGUAGCUGGCCUGGGAGGGCGACCGGCCACAUUGGGACUGAGAUACGGCCCAGACGCCUACGGGGGGCAGCAGUGGGGAAUAUUGCACAAUGGGCGGAAGCCUGAUGCAGCAACGCCGCGUGCGGGAUGACGGCCUUCGGGUUGUAAACCGCUUUCAGCAGGGGCGAAGCUUGUGGUGACGGUACCUGCAGAAGAAGCACCGGCUAACUACGUG
rnacentral:rRNA from 1 species